rnacentral:rRNA from 1 species
UACGUAGGCAGCGAGCGUUGUUCGGAGUUACUGGGCGUAAAGGGUGUGUAGGCGGUUUUCUAAGUUUGGUGUGAAAUCUCCCGGCUCAACCGGGAGGGUGCGCCGAAAACUGGGAGACUAGAGUGCGGGAUGGGAGAGUAGAAUUCCUGGUGUAGCGGUGAAAUGCGUAGAUAUUGGGAAGAACACCGGUGGCGAAGGCGGCGCUCUGGACCGAGACUGACGCUGAGGCGCGAAAGCGUGGGGAGCAAACAGG